UCCGGUUUGUCACCGGCAGUCAUCUUAGAGGGCCCACCAUGAUGUGCUGGCAACUAAGAUCAAGGGUUGCGCUCGUUGCGGGACUUAACCCAACAUCUCACGACACGAGCUGACGACAACCAUGCACCACCUGUCUUUCCGGUCCCGAAGGAAAGGCUCAUCUCUGAACCGGUCCGGAAGAUGUCAAGACCUGGUAAGGUUCUUCGCGUUGCUUCGAAUUAAACCACAUACUCCACUGCUUGUGCGGGUCCCCGUCAAUUCCUUUGAGUUUCAGUCUUGCGACCGUACUCCCCAGGCGGAAUGCUUAUUGUGUUAACUUCGGCACCAAGGGUGUGAUACCCCUGACACCUAGCAUUCAUCGUUUACAGCGUGGACUAC
rnacentral:misc_RNA from 1 species